rnacentral:lncRNA from 1 species
GAUGAAGGUUGAAAAACAGUGAUUUUCAUAUGUCAAUUUGGACCAAAUUACACCCUUUACUACUUGGAACGAGCUUAGAAUCAAGCAAAACUCAAUAAAUGAGUCUGGAGAGAGUCAAAAGUUGUUUUUAGCGAUUUUAUGCUUAUUUUGCAUUGUUUUGUAGCUAAUUUGAGAAAAGUAAAAAUGGAGUUGAAGAUACAGGUCGUUG